UUUAUCCAGCACACUCUCUUUAAACCCUUCCAUUACACACUGCUCUGACAGAUUGGCCACUGAAGCAAAGCAGGCUUGGGUCUGGUCAGUACCUGGACAGGAGACCUCCAGGGAAAAUGAGGUGGAAAAAG
rnacentral:rRNA from 1 species